UCCACCAUGGCGCAAUUGGCUAGCGCGUCAGACUGUUAUCACUUUGAGCAAUCUGGAGGCUGACAGUUCGACCCUGUCUGGUGGAG
rnacentral:tRNA from 1 species